rnacentral:rRNA from 1 species
UUUUUAGUGGCGGACGGGUUAGUAACACGUGAGCAACCUACCUCGAAGCGGGGAUAGCCUUCCGAAAGGAAGAUUAAUACCGCAUAUGACCUACGGGUUAAAGACGCCUUCGGGUGUCACUUCGAGAUGGGCUCGCGGCCUAUCAGCUAGUUGGUGAGGUAACGGCUCACCAAGGCAACGACGGGUAGCUGGUCUGAGAGGACGAUCAGCAACACUGGAACUGAGACACGGUCCAG